GACGUAGGAUGCAAGCGUUGUCCGGAUUUAUUGGGCGUAAAGAGUUCGUAGGUGGUUUGUUAAGUCUGAUGUUAAAGACCGGGGCUCAACCUCGGAAGUGCAUUGGAUACUGGCAGACUCGAGUAUGGUAGAGGCGAGUGGAAUUCCCAGUGUAGCGGUGAAAUGCGUAGAUAUUGGGAAGAACACCGGUGGCGCAAGCGACUCGCUGGGCCAUUACUGACACUGAGGAACGAAAGCUAGGGGAGCAAAUGGGAUUAGAUACCCCAGUAGUCCUAGCUGUAAACGAUGGAUACUAGGCGUAUCGGGUAUCGACCCCUGAUGUGCCGCAGCUAACGCGAUAAGUAUCCCGCCUGAGUAGUACGGCCGCAAGGUUGAA
rnacentral:rRNA from 1 species